GUCUUUACCGCCCUCCCCGCCCCCCCGGAACCAAAAGCUUGGAGUCUGGAGUCUUGCAGGUUGCGACUGAGUCUCCGGAAGCCCCUCUGGACUUGGAGGUUCACACCCCUAUUCCUGGUCACAAUUUCUGGGCAGGAGACCACCCUCUCCCGGAGCGGGGAGGAUCUGUGGGCAGGGCCCCGGCGAGCGCCCACACCCUCGCGUACCCACACAUCCACGUGGGCGUCUCGGGACACAGCAGCAGGUGCUGGCAGGUGACGGGCAGGACCUCCACGGCAGCAACUCAGCUACCAGCGCUUUCCUUUCUCCUUCCAAGGCCCUUUCUUCUCUCCUCGACCUUUUGAGCCCCCCCCCCCCCACUUGCAGCCCAGCUUCCGGCCCGCAGUCUACACCCCUCCGUUCUCCCCACGUGCAGCUCCUCAACGCCUCCAUCCCCACCUGGAGCGAAGUCCCGGCUCCGGAGGCUGGAGGUCCUCGGCGCGUCACGGGGAGGUCCCGGGCCGCCCGGGCAGUGACGGAGCUCGGACCCCUCUGCGUGCUCGAGGUCCGGCGGGCGCGGCGGAGUCCGCAGAGGCCGGGGAGGGGGGGACGCCUCUGGGCGGGGGGCGGAGCUGCCUGGGAGGGACUCCCCGCACUCCCGCGCUCCGGCUCCCGCGGCGCUGCCUCAGCUUCUCGGUUGUUUCCUGCUCAUUCAUUCGCUUUUUACAAGCUCCAGAUCUCCUGGUGCUGCUGCUCUACCAACUCUUUUUCUCCCCGAGUUUAAAGCGCCACGAGCACGCGUUUUGCAUGUGGGGGGUAGGGUGAGCCGUGUUUGCCUUCGGGGCUGUUUCAAAUCGUUUGAGGAGGGGAAAGGUACAGUACAGGAACCUGCCUCUUUGCACGGCAUUUGAUGCGACAGCCUCCGCUUCUGACCAGGGGAUUAUCCGGAAACUUUUACAGCCCGCCCUUUCCUCCAGCACCCGGCCUCGGGUUCCAGACCGACAAAAACGGAGAAGCCUUCGCCCUAGAGAAGACCGAGAGCUGCAAAGCUCUCGCUCCCCUGGGACCGGCGGAAGGAAGCUAAGGGCUGGGAGGCAACCCCGCUGCAAUUUCUAACCCUCAAAAAGUGAAAAACCCGAACCCCAAAGGGGAUUUUCACAGGCUGGCCCCUCCCCUUUCCCCACCUCUGUUCCGGCGCCGAGGUCCAGCUGGGGAUUUGCCCGCGCCACUCUCGCCCCUUCUCCCGGGCGGGCGGGCUGAGUGAGGGAUCCCAGCCGGGUCCUCACUCCCGCCCCCUCCCCUCCCCCCAGGAUCCAGGCAGCUGUGAUGUCCUUGCUGUCGCCGCCCCAGUCCGCCGCGCACCAGCUCUGGGGGUGCCGGCCGCGCGCAGCUGCCCGAUUUCUCCUCGCUUCUUGGCUUCCAGGAGGGUCCAGCAGCCCAGGGCUAUGACUAAGGCGCUCACUUGAUCGCAGAGGUGGCGCGGAGCCCGGCGAGCCGAUGACGGACCCCUUCCUCCUGUCUUCAGUGCCUCAACGGAAGAUCCUCAAGGGCUGGAGAGAGAAGGGCUGCUGCUGGACACCCUCCCGGGGAGGCUGCUCCCACCUGCCGCUCGUGGUGUACGAGACUGGGGACUGAGCGAGCCCCAGCCGUCGCUGCCGUCGGUCGGACCGGCCCCCGCCCCGCUCUGCUCGGCCCGCCUCCCGGCCCGGCUCGGCCCGGCCCGGCCCGUCCC
ensembl:lncRNA